GCUAUUUAGGUUAGAGUUUGAUCAUGGCUCAGGACGAACGCUGGCGGCGUGCUUAACACAUGCAAGUGGUGCGACGAACCAGGGCUUGCCCUGGGGCAAAGCCGCGAACGGGUGAGUAACACGUGAGUAACCUGCCCCGAUGACCGGGACAACCCGAGGAAACUCGGGCUAAUACCGGAUGUGGUGCACAUUCUUAAGUUUGUGUACUAAAGGAAGCUUCGGCCUCCGCAUUGGGAGGGGCUCGCGGCCCAUUAGCUUGUUGGUGGGGUAACGGCCCACCAAGGCUGCGAUGGGUAGCUGGUCUGAGAGGACGAUCAGCCACACUGGGACUGAGACACGGCCCAGACUCCUACGGGAGGCAGCAGUGGGGAAUCUUGCGCAAUGCGCGAAAGCGUGACGCAGCAACGCCGCGUGGGGGAAGACGGCCUUCGGGUUGUAAACCACUGUCGGGAGGGACGAAUGCGCCGCAAGGCGAGUGACGGUACCUCCAAAGGAAGCACCGGCUAACUCCGUGCCAGCAGCCGCGGUAAUCGCC
rnacentral:rRNA from 1 species